GAUGAACGCUGGCGGCGUGCCUAAUACAUGCAAGUCGAGCGAAUGGAUUAAGAGCUUGCUCUUAUGAAGUUAGCGGCGGACGGGUGAGUAACACGUGGGUAACCUGCCCAUAAGACUGGGAUAACUCCGGGAAACCGGGGCUAAUACCGGAUAACAUUUUGAACCGCAUGGUUCGAAAUUGAAAGGCGGCUUCGGCGGUCACUUAUGGAUGGACCCGGGUCGCAUUAGCUAGUUGGUGAGGUAACGGCUCGCCAAGGCAACGAUGCGUAGCCGACCUGAGAGGGUGAUCGGCCACACUGGGACUGAGACACGGCCCAGACUCCUACGGGAGGCAGCAGUAGGGAAUCUUCCGCAAUGGACGAAAGUCUGACGGAGCAACGCCGCGUGAGUGAUGAAGGCUUUCGGGUCGUAAAACUCUGUUGUUAGGGAAGAACAAGUGCUAGUUGAAUAAGCUGGCACCUUGACGGUACCUAACCAGAAAGCCACGGCUAACUACGUGCCAGCAGCCGCGGUAA
rnacentral:rRNA from 1 species